rnacentral:rRNA from 1 species
UAGGGAAUCUUCUGCAAUGGGCGCAAGCCUGACAGAGCAACGCCGCGUGAGUGAGGAAGGCCUUCGGGUCGCAGAACUCUGUUGUUGGGGAAGAAAAAGGUGUACAGCCGUUUGACGGUACCCGACGAGGAAGCCCCGGCUAACUACGUGCCAGCAGCCGCGGUAAUACGUAGGGGGCGAGCGUUGUCCGGAAUGAUUGGGCGUAAAGGGCGUGUAGGCGGCAGGUUAAGUCUGGUGUGAAAGACCACGGCUCAACCGUGGGAUGUCAUUGGAAACUGGCUUGCUUGAGUGCAGGAGAGGUGCGUGGAAUUCCUGGUGUAGCGGUGAAAUGCGUAGAUAUCAGGAGGAACACCGAUGGCGAAGGCAGCGCACUGGCCUGUAACUGACGCUGAGGCGCGAAAGCGUGGGGAGCAAACAGG